GCCUGGGUGGCUCAGUCGGUUAAGCGUCCGACUUCAGCUCAGGUCGUGAUCUCAUGGUGUGUGGGUUUGAGCCCCACGUCAGGCU
rfam:Felis catus isolate Cinnamon breed Abyssinian chromosome B4, whole genome shotgun sequence.